rnacentral:rRNA from 1 species
UACGUAGGGUGCAAGCGUUGUCCGGAAUUACUGGGCGUAAAGCGUGCGCAGGCGGUUCGGUAAGACAGAUGUGAAAUCCCCGGGCUUAACCUGGGAACUGCAUUUGAGACUGGCGAGCUAGAGUAUGGCAGAGGGGGGUAGAAUUCCACGUGUAGCAGUGAAAUGCGUAGAGAUGUGGAGGAAUACCGAUGGCGAAGGCAGCCCCCUGGGCCAAUACUGACGCUCAUGCACGAAAGCGUGGGGAGCAAACAGG